rnacentral:rRNA from 1 species
UGGGGAAUAUUGGGCAAUGGGGGCAACCCUGACCCAGCGACGCCGCGUGAGGGAAGACGGCCUUCGGGUUGUAAACCUCUUUUGUACGGGAAGAAGGAAGUGACGGUACUGUACGAAUAAGUCCCGGCUAACUACGUGCCAGCAGCCGCGGUAAUACGUAGGGGACGAGCGUUGUCCGGAAUUACUGGGCGUAAAGGGCGCGCAGGCUGUGCUGCAAGUCAGCUGUGAAAUAUCUGGGCUUAACCUGGAUAUGCGGUUGAGACUGCAGUGCUGGAGUGCUGUAGAGGCAAGUGGAAUUCCCAGUGUAGCGGUGAAAUGCGUAGAUAUUGGGAAGAACACCGGUGGCGAAGGCGACUUGCUGGGCAGCAACUGACGCUGAGGCGCGAAAGCCAGGGGAGCAAACG